AUUCCGGUAGGCCUGUACGAGGUAGCUCCUUUGCCUGUACGAAUCAGGUCUUUUGAUUCGUGGUUGUCGUAUACAAUUCGCCCUCUAAAAAAAUGACCGUUGAGAUUUGUCUUGAGACUAGUUGGCAGCAUGUCGCAUACAUACUGGCAACCAAUUGGUCGGACGUCCCAGACAGUCGGCAAUCAUGGCAGCCGACACCUUGACGCCACAAAAAUAUCCCCACAUUCUUGGAGCGUGUGAGCCGACUUGUCAAAUCCAGAAGUCUCUGGGUUGUCUUGGCCCAGAGUCGGCACAGUGUGAACGAGGCUUAAAGCCCAGUUCACACAGUCGCAGACAGUCAGUUAAUAGCCCGUAUCCUCACGAGCUAUUAACUCUUACCCUUAAAGUUAUUAUCAAAGUUAAUAGUUUCAAUUUAUUAAGAUAAAUAGCUAUCCUCGUCAACUUUGAGUAUAAGUACUAGCAAAUCCUGGCUCCUAUUAUGUUAUUUUUCUUAUUCUUCAUGGCGGGCUCGUUGCUAAGGACGCCUCCGUGCAAAACGUAAACAACCGACAUGAAUUAAGUAAAUAUUUCAAAAGAAAAAUAAAGAAAUAAAGGUUUGCAUAGGAAAUAUGUAUAAAUGUAUAACAAAAAACAAAAUAAAUGGCAAACACAAGAAAAAUAAAUUGAGUUUUGUGGAAGAUAGUAAUGAAAUGUAGUUAAAGGCUGCUUUUACGUCCUCACUCCCCUCCCGUUAUCUCCCCUCCUUUCAAAGGAGAGAUAACGAAAGCGUGUUGUUGUGACAAAGGAGUCCUUCGUCACAACAACACGCUCAGUACCGCACCAUAACCACGUGACCUGCCACAAUGAGCUCACCACUCAUAUCAUCAGAGGGCGUUACGGCAAGACUGUCACCUCUGGGGAUAAGAAGAGAGCGUGGAAUGAAGUGUCAGAAGCUGUGACAAGGAGGCAGCUCAAGGGCACAACAAAAGAAAACAAUAAUAAAAAAGCCCGCUACUCGCUGCUCCCAAAAAAAGAAUUAAAAGAGGUGGCCGAAAGAAAGAUGAAUUUCGGGAGGAGAGGUGUCCUGAUACCCUCCUCUUGAAAGAGUUCAAGUCGUAGGCAGGAGGAAAUACAGAUGAAGGAAGGUUGUUCCAGAGUUUACCAGCGUGAGGGAUGAAAGAUUGAAGAUGCUGGUUAACUCUUGCAUAAGGGGUUUGGACAGUGUAGGGAUGAGCAUGAGUAGAAAGUCGUGUGCAGCGGGGCCGCGGAAAGGGGGGAGGCAUGCAUUUAGCAAGUUCAGAAGAGCAGUCAGCGUGGAAAUAUCGAUAGAAGAUAGAAAGAAAAGCAACAUCGCGGCGGCAUUUAAGAGGUAGAAGACUAUCAGUAGGAGGAGGAGAGCUGAUGAGACGAAGAGCCUUAGACUACACUCUGUCCAGAAGGGCUGUGUGAGUGGAGCCCCCCCACACGGGAGAUGCAUACUCCAUACGAGGGCGGACAAGGCCCCUGUAUAUGGAUAGUAACUGCGCGGGGGAGAAGAACUGGCGGAGACGAUACAUAAACCUGCUAAACCUGUCCUACCUAACACGUCCUAACCUAACAUGUGCCUUCCCUGGGAGUGGACCCCGUUCGCAGGAUGAUUGUGAGAGGCGCUGGUACAAUGUACUGCAAAAAUCAAAGCUCCGCAUUGCGCAGUACAAGAAUGAACAGCGGAAGACUGGUGGUGGUGCACCAACUAUCACAUUAACUGUGAUAGAUGAGUUGGUGUACGACAUCAUCGGCCGCUCGUCUAAGGUAUUCGACGGGGUACUAGCGCCUUUCAGCGUUGACACAGCUGCCUUGGCUGAUGUGCAACAUACAGGACAGCAGCAGCAGCAGCAGUCAAGCAGCGGUGAAAUAUUGACUGGCAUCUCUGUACCCCUAAAGACCAUCUUACCACAUUGCUCAGUCGAGGCAAUAUAUAUGGAAGAGGUACCAUCUCCUGCUCCAGCACCCACUGGUUCAACAUGAGAUGCUUUUCAUAGGGCAGCAUGCCUUCCCUGGGAGUGGACCCCGUGCGCAGGAUGACUGUGAGAGGCGUUGGUACAACGUACAACAAAAAUCAAAGCCUCGUAUUGCCAAGUACAAGAAUGAGCACCGGCAGACUGCCCUGCUGCUCUAUCGGUAGAGACCAUCCCAGCACAUUGUUCAUUACUUUUGGAAAGGAUACCAUCAGCUGCUCCGGCAAUAGCCACUGCUUCAACAUCUGCUGGCCCUAUGACACCUGCCACUGCUUCAUCAUCUGCUGGCCCUAUGACACCUGCCACUGCUUCAACAUCUGCUGGCCCUAUGACACCUGCCACUGCUUCAUCAUCUGCUGGCCCUAUGACACCUGCCACUGCUUCAUCAUCUGCUGGCCCUAUGACACCUGCCACUGCUUCAUCAUCUGCUGGCCCUAUGACACCUGCCACUGCUUCAACAUCUGCUGGCCCUAUGACACCUGCCACUGCUUCAUCAUCUGCUGGCCCUAUGACAC